GUGAGAGCAAAGUGCUCUCUUGCUCUCUUACACUCUUGUCUUUCUGCUUUCCACCAUAGGAUGACACAGCACAAAAGUCCUGCGGGCUAUUCAGUCUCGGACUUCCCAGCCUCCAAAACUCAGUUUUACUGUGAAGAAUCCAGGGUGAUUUGCCUGCUGGAACUACAUUCAAUUGAUACUCCUUAAAGAAAGAAAACAGAAUCCAGCAGCCAUAUGCAGAAGAUUAAAACUGGACCCCUUCCUUACACCAUAUACGAAAAUUAACCUGAGAUGGAGUCUCAUUCCGUCACCUAGUGGCAUGCUCUUGGCUCACUGCAACCUCUGCUUCCCGGGUGGUGAUUCUCCUGCCUCUGCUUCCCGGGUUCAAGUGAUUCUCCUGCCUCAGCCCCCUGAGUAUCCAGGAUUACAGGAAAUGGUCCCAGGAGGAAAGGCUCUGAGCUCAGCCAAUCCUAGCCCAUGUCCCAUGACUACAAGGAAAGUUUAAAAUGUCAGACAAACACCUUUAAGUAAGCAAACAAGCUUCUGAGAAAAUAAGAGUACUUCACCCUUGGAGGCCAAGAUUGAAGCAGGAGAGCAGAGUUAAAUUAACUAUUGCCACCACUGCACAACCGGGGGGCAUCUAUGAAUCUUCAGGUAUCUCAUAUGGAGUGAAGAGCCAGACCAUCCUGUAUAAAGCCAAGACUCAAGUAGAAUAUGCCCUGAGAAAAAGGUGAACUAGAAGAAAACCCACCCAGCAAUUUCAGACAGCAAACAAAAUUGUAGAGGUAAAAAUAGCAAAAACAACAAUAAAAUUUCCCUGAGAUUUUAUAAUCACAAAUUUGGCCACACAGAGAGAUUUGGGGCCACAAACUGCAGUACUCAUAUGAAUUAAAAAAAAAAGCUCAAGGGAAAUUUCAUUUAAAAGGAAGAGUUUCAGUCCAGGCACAGUGACUCAUACCUAUCAUCUCAGCAGCUUGGGAGGCCAAAGCAGGAGGAUCACUUGAGGACAAGAGUUCAAGACCAGCAUGGGCAAUGUAACAAGACCCCAUCUCUACAAAAACUUUAAAAUUUUUAAACUUCUUUAAAAUUUCAGGAAAAUAUUCUAAGGAAAUCAUCAACUAUUAAGGUAUUUGUCACAGGGUUAUUCAUAAAAUUAACUGUAAACCAGUUAAGCAUCAAACAACAAACUAGUUAAUAAUCACCAUCAUCAUACUAAUGCUUAUUGGCUCCUACCAGUGCCUGGCACUGUGAACCUGGCACAGCAGAAACUCUCUUGACAGGCUCUGCUUAACAAACUCACUGGCUGACCACUGAUCAUUCGUUAUGCAAGUCAAGAGGAACACCCCCGCCUAGGCUGGCCUCUCCCCGGUAGACUUGUUCAUCCUGUCCUUAUAAGUGAGCACUGUGCUCUUUAAAAGUAAGGUGGGCUUUCUUCUGGUGUGAGAAAAACAAUCGUAAAAGGGCAUAUAUGAACAACAAGAGAUCAGAGAGAUCAUGCAAUGAAGAUUGGGGGAAAUAAAUACAUAUAGGACACUGUAUACACAGGGUUUUUUGUUUGCAUGGGACAUACUUAUACUAAAAAAAAUGUGUUGUUUAUCUGACAUUUAAAUGUAACUGGGUGGGCCACGCACAGGUGGCUCAUGCCUGUAAUCUCAGCAUUUUGGGAGGCUGAGACAGAUAGAUCACUUGAGCCCAGGACUUCAAGGCCAGCCUAGGCACCAUAGCAAACCCCCAUCCACCAAAAAUAUAAAAAAGUUAGUUGGGUGCAGUGGCAUUUGCCUGUAGUCCCAGCUACUUGGGAGGCUGAGAUGGGAGAAUCACUAGAGUCCAGGAGGUGGCAGUUUUAGUAAGCUAUGAUUAUGCCACGGCAUUCCAACCUGGGUGACAGAGCAAGACUCUGUCUUAAAAAAAAAAAAAUUAACUGGGUGCCCUGUAUUUUAUCUGCAUCUCUCCUGGUGAUUCUUUUAGAUACUCCUUUCCCAAAGCAUCUUCAAAUACCAGCUUCAUGCACAAGAAGGUGUCUCACCACCACAGUGAACUUUGUGUCCUCCAGACUUCCGUCUGCCAAAAGAAAGACAAGCAUUCUCCUCCUCUAGGACAGGGGGCGGGCCUAUUUCUAACCAAUAGUGAGGGGCUACUCUAAAAGUCAGCCGGAAGAACUGGCUCAGUGGGAGCCUUAGGUCUCCACGAAGUCCAUGAUCCUCCUAAUUGCUCGCUUGAGGCAGCAAAAAGGCAAGGAAAGCCCUGAAGAUAACCCUUACUCACCUGGCAGUUUUGCCCAGGAUUAGCAGGUCCUCACUGGGCCGAGGCAGCUGGCCAGGUUUCCCAUGAACCCCUCCUGUGUUCUCCUGAGCCAAUUCUCCUUAUUGAGCCUUUCAUCUCCUACUCCCCAAUCCCUUUGAAACCCCCACUUCUGGAUAAAUAACCCAUCUUCAAUUGCCCAUGAAGUUGUGUCUACAUCUUUCAAAUGAGUCCAAGUCCAGUUAAACAGGAAAAGGCCUCACCCGGUCAAUUCUCCCCCAGAACGAAAGGUGAGACGUUGUCUGAAUGCGUAGGAGCAUUGCACAGAGCACAUGUGUGUGAAUUUUUCUUUGUCUUGGGAACCGUCUAUUGGGAUGACACAUUUGGAAGUCCCCGUGAAAGGUGAGGUUGCUGCUGCGGUGAGGAAAUAGCCUGUGAUGAGGGGAAGAUUUGAAAGGAGGGUGCCUUACCGGAGCACCUCGUACACGGCAAUGGCUGUCAUGAAAAUGACCCCAAUGUUGCCUCCUCUUGCUGGGAACAAGAGAGGAAUUUCACAUCUCAACCUUUUGAAGGAGUAUCCUUGGGGCUAGUUUGAGAUGCAGGGAGUUUGCAACUUUCAGGAAAACCCACAGGUUUGAGCAGACAUGACAUGAAGGCCCAGAAACUGGAAACUACAUCUUGGAACUUAGUGAUUUGGAGUUUAUUUAACAAUGAUAUGUUAUUUGAUAGUGGAAAAAUUGGAAACAGUCUGAAUGUCCAUAAUAGAGGAUUACUUAAAUAAAUGAGGUGCGUGUGGAUAGAAUUCUCUAUUGCCAUUAAACAUGACAUUGAAGGCCAGUUAAUGAUAUGAAAAGGUAUUUGAUACAUAAUUAGGUGAAAAGUUACAAAAUGUGUGCAAUAAUAAUUCACCAAAAUGUGGACAGUGAUAAUCUCUGAGAGGUAGAAUUACUGAUGAUAUUCUACUUUGUGCAAGAAUUCAUCUACUUUUUUUUAAACAAUGAACAUGGGUUGCUUUGUGGAAAGAAAAGACAUUAUUCUCUACACACUAACAAUCUGUAAAUACUCCAGAACUCUAAGAACCUAGAGUUGUGCUCUUAAUUCAGAUAAAAACCAAGAAACCAAAGGUCUAUUCAAAAUCAAACCACAGCAAGACAACUCAG